CCUCUUUCUCUCCUCUUUGUCUCUCUUACUUUCUCAUAGAACCCUAUACGGACAAAUCCAUAGCCCUAAUUAAUUUUUCCAUCUACUCAUCCACUUCCUCUGUAUGUGAUUUUAAUCGAUUGAUUUGAAACUGUAGCUGUUGCUGCUGCUUAUUAGGUUCUCCCUUCCAACUCUAUCUCAAGAUUAGGCCAAAGACAUCUAUCAGUACCAUCUCUGGCGCUGUUGCCGCAACUGCCAAGGGCCAAGACCACCUCAAUCACCUCCAUUUGAGGGGCAUUCAGCUUUAGUGGAUGUGUUUGGUACGUCAAUGAAAACUUCUGCAACUCAGGGAGGUAGGUAUUCCUUUCUUUUUCCUACCAUGUUUUGAAGCUAGAUUUGUCGAUGCUUUAUUUUUUCAUUUCUUAACUACGUUAAAGUUAAUAGACCAAACUAGCCAUGCAAUUACAGUGAGCAAGGUGACAAUAAGUUUAACAAAUCUCAUUCAGAUGUUCAUCAAAUGUGGACGUAGUAUGCACAAUAUCAACUCCAAUUUCUAAAUUUCAUUGUCGACAAUACAAAAUUCUUAAAUGUUGUUUUAGUUUUGCAUCGUGGGUUAUAUGUUUCCCUAUUCAUAUGUUAGACAAAUAUCAUUCUUCUUAUUUAGUGAAUUAGUUUUCGUAUGUGGUUUGUGUUAGAUGACAUGAUCUGUUAAGUGGAAAUAGUAUUAUAUUUGUCAUUAAGUAGCUUACUUAAGAUAGUUAUUACGAGAAAUGAAUCUUUUAAAUGAACUCACAAUGAAUAGUCCUUACAUUUCUAAAGGGUAAAUGCUCUCAAUUACGUCGAUGAAUAUGGCUUAAUUUGUUUAUCUAUCGUGACUACUCUUGCCGGUAUUGGGCUGUUCAGGGUCAAUGUUUAUUUAAACAUAACUAUUUUUAGAAAUUGACUGAACAAGUUCAGUUUGAGUUGCCAAAGAAAUGAUACAAUGGUGGGCAGGAACCAGUAUUAGUUCCAAGAUGGCGGCUGCAUCAACAAUUCUUGGAGUGCAGGUGUAGCUUACAGCAAAGCAAAAUAUAGAAGAAUACAAUGGAAAAGUAAAUCUUCUAUAACAUCAAAUUUACCCCACCUAGCACGGAGUAUUUAUUGGGAGCGUUUGGGCAGCCAACUCUAUAGGCAGACAACAGAUACUAAAAAGCAAAAUGGCGGAAGCAGAUGGAAUGGUGGCUUCUGACGCAACAAUAAUUAUGAAACCUAACUGAAUUGGGUUAGUGUUUUUACAUCUAAUAUUUACUGCUUUUUGAAGCAUCUAUGAUUAGGUAACAAUACUAACCCGAUAUCAGUUGGAAAAAGAAAGACCACACGACCAGUUAUUUGUAUGUUAGGAACUGAGUAAGUUGACAUUCGUCAUUACUCUUAUGGUAUUAUAUGUGGAACAAGAUUGAGAGGUAAUAAACAUGAACUCUAUAAACAAUCCGGACAUAAUGUUUCAGAGUCAAGGAGUUAAAGAGACUGUCUUAGAAGAAUUAGGUGGAGGUUGUGAGAUGGAAGGUGUUCGGGUCAAUAUAUUUGAGGUGGAGCCUGUGAGAACCAUACACAAAAAUGUCAAACAACAGUGAUUUGAGAUGGGAUUAACUGGAGUUCCAGUAGGAAUUUAAUUUACUCCUAAAUUAUAUACUACUCAAUGAAAUUUAUAGUUUGUA